rnacentral:rRNA from 1 species
UACGGAGGGUGCGAGCGUUGUUCGGAAUUACUGGGCGUAAAGAGCUCGUAGGUGGCCAACUAAGUCAGACGUGAAAUCCCUCGGCUUAACCGGGGAACUGCGUCUGAUACUGGAUGGCUUGAGUUUGGGAGAGGGACGCGGAAUUCCAGGUGUAGCGGUGAAAUGCGUAGAUAUCUGGAGGAACACCGGUGGCGAAGGCGGCGUCCUGGACCAACACUGACACUGAUGAGCGAAAGCCAGGGGAGCAAACGGG